CAGAAGCACUUGAUGUGCUCAACUGCUGAUAUAUACAAGAAAUACCGGAUCUUGAUGAAGAUCGUAGUACACUUCAUUCACAAUUUAAAUUCUUAGUGUAUCUAUCAUCAUGUCCAGCUGCGCCUUUUUCUUCUACAAUUUAGUUUCUCGAGAGUAUGCCAGAGGCGUAUCAUACUUUUAUAGAAGAGAGCAAAGACAAUGUACAAGAAGCCUCGAAAUGGAUGCGAACAUCCACUCUCGGCCACACCCCAUUACAACCAAAGCCGGUGUACUCUAAACACCCCAGAUUACGGAUAAUUGUUUACAGAUAUUCUCACAGAUUUGGGAUGUAACAAUGG